ACUAAAACUAACAAACCAUAACAGAACUCAGAAUAUUACAGCCUGCCCACAGUAACAUUAAAAGACCAAAACGGGCAGAGGUGAAUUUUCUCCCAAAUUUCCCAAGAGGGGAAGAUCUUGGAAGCUUGUAGCAAAUCAGACCCCAAAUUGUAGAUGAAGUCAAGAUAGCCAACAAAAACCUCACCCAGAUUACAGCUCUGAUGCAAACUACCUUUGCCUUACGGCGAAAAGAAGUCGUCAGCGAUGAGCUACCUGUUGGAGAGAUCUUGGAACGCUGGCCUGCCCUUGGAAUUGAGUCCCAGAUUUGGCCGAAGCCCUUGAUAAGCUCUUCAGUGCUUAUGACCUCCAGGAGCAAGUCCAUGGAAGACGUGCAGUUUUUCUCCGUGCUCUUCCUCCUUAUCUGUGCGAGGAUGACUCCAAGUUCCUGAAGAUGUGGGAUAUCUCCUGAGGAAAAACACCAAGCAUCAACCCUGAUCCUCUGGAUUACAGGAACCAGACUUCAUCGACUUGUUGGCUUCCCAACAUCUCUCUGCUUUUACUGAAGAAGCUUCUAGUUAUUUAUCACUUUACUGAUCAUUAAUUAAAAUUAAAACAUGUGUUGCUCUGAAUGAUCAGAACCGUUCUGACUGGAAGAGACUGAAUGGAGACAUUUAUAGAGUGAUGGUCUGAAGCUGCUGUGGUCUGGAUCAAAUCAAUUCACUUUAUCUAUAGAACAUCAGUUACCAACAUGUCAUCUGAAGGGACUUUACUAAAAAAAGAAAAGAUAAAUAAAAGUGAUUAAACUGUAGAACCCACAGAACAGUUUUACCUUCAGGGAAGCUGAACGGAGCAAAGAAAAGUCUGCAGAAACUGGACGGAUUGAACUCUGAGCUUAAAUCUUCUGAUGGCUCCAGUUUCCACUGAGAGGCUUUUAUUCAGCAGUUUAGGGCUGAAGGAAGGUCCAAAUGGCUCCAGAGGAGGUUCUGGAGAUGGAAAAGAACUCUAUGAAGUGAUGGUGGCAGUCUGCUGCUCUAACAUCUAGUCUUUCUAGAUCUAAGCUGCAGCCUCCACAAGCAGACACUGACUGACGGCGACUCCUGAUGAAUCUGCUCAGCUUUUUCACUCAAUCUUGGACAUUUCCCACGUUCUGUAAUCAAAACUGAGGAACCGUCAAACUGCAGCAGGAGCAUCCAACCACAGCUCUACCCAGCAUGGCCUCCUCUUCUGCUCCUCCUGCUGGUG